UAUUUGUUUCGAACUUAUUUUAUUUAUGUAAUUUUUUUUAUUUAACAAUUAAAAGGAUAUUCAAGUAGUCAUUGUAUAUUUUAUUUAUAAUAAUAUUAUUAUAGUUAAAAAAUGAAUAUUUACAUUGGACACGUCAUUGUGUCACUUUAAGCUUGAAUAGUAUAUGCAGCUCCCUUAUAAGUAUAUAAUAGUAUUAAUAUUACAGUUUGGCGACAAAAAUUUACAAAAAAAAAAAAAAAAAUAAAACAAAAUAAUUAUAAUAACACCAAUGUGGUAUUCAUUCUUCAAUCAUGAUAAUAUUAUAAUAUCAGGAACUGCUGCAGUUGUGUAUAAUAUCAAUCAUUUUCUUGAAAUGUUUAAAAACGACGUCCCUAAUCAUUUUCGUCUUACACAAAUCAAAUUUCCGUUUGCUAACAAAAUAAUAAUAAUAAUAAAAACUUGAAUGUUAUUUCGUGCGUACCUAUCUUUACACUUUUUUUUUGAGCCCUGCCGCUGUUCGGAAUUGAACAAUCUUAAAUCGUUAAACCAAAUUAUUAUUGCACGGCUCGUGUUUCCAAAAAAAAAUAAUCAUUAUUAUUCAAUUUCCCACAGGAUACCACGUCGUUUUCAAACAAAUAAUACUAAUGCCACUAUAACACACAUUCCACCACCAGUCGAAUAUGUGUCACAAAAUGCGUUAAAUACAUAAUACAUUAUUUAUAUAGUAAUAAUAAUUAUAAUAAAUAAUAAUUAUAAUAAUAAUAAUUAAUUACAAUUAUAAUAUAAUAUUAUACGUCCAGAAGAACAAAUAAUUACAGAUCAAUUAAAACUAUUUUAACAUAGAUACUCGUAAAAUAUCUAUUGUUAGGUGUUGUGAUGUAUUUUCGUAAAGAUAAUAAAAUUAAUUUGUUUAUUUUAAUUUCUAAAAUGUAUCUAUAACUACGCGUCAGUGCCCGCUAGUAAUAAUUUCGUUAUAUUGUUUAACAGACGAAACACGGAAUAAGAAGACUGAUGGAUACGCGUGAUCGAGAAACUGACCGGGAAAUUUUAUGUGUGGCGCGGAUCUAUGGGAUUGUGACUCGCCUUAGCGGAGAAUAAUAUAUUAUGAAAGUAUAUUAGGUACACAAAAUUGUUUAGCUUUAUUUUUAGUUCUUGUUGAAACUCGUCGUUAGGCACCGUGGCGUUCGGAUAGAGCUGGCCGUGGUUUCGGCCAUAACAAUAAUUAAUAUUUUGUCCGCCUGCACCCACCAAUCAUAUUAUCGUGGGCAGUCCUUCAUACCCUCUUGUACAGCAUAAUAGAAAUAAAAAUGGUAAAUAGAAAAGAAAAAAUAUGUUUAUGUAUAUCCUAAUAAAAACGAUAUUAGUAGGUAUUAGGUUUAAAUUGGUUUUGAUUUAAAAUAAAUGUAUGUUUUUUUUUUUUUUUUGUUCAGAAAUAAAUAAGUGUAACCCUGUACAAUGUAACUUAAGUGCGAUAAUAAUAUU